UAGGGAAUCUUCGGCAAUGGACGAAAGUCUGACCGAGCAACGCCGCGUGAGUGAAGAAGGUUUUCGGAUCGUAAAACUCUGUUGUUAGAGAAGAACAAGGACGUUAGUAACUGAACGUCCCCUGACGGUAUCUAACCAGAAAGCCACGGCUAACUACGUGCCAGCAGCCGCGGUAAUACGUAGGUGGCAAGCGUUGUCCGGAUUUAUUGGGCGUAAAGCGAGCGCAGGCGGUUUCUUAAGUCUGAUGUGAAAGCCCCCGGCUCAACCGGGGAGGGUCAUUGGAAACUGGGAGACUUGAGUGCAGAAGAGGGGAGUGGAAUUCCGUGUGUAGCGGUGGAAUGCAUAGAUAUAUGGAGGAACACCAGUGGCGAAGGCGGCUCUAUGGUCUGUAACUGACGCUGAGGCUCGAAAGCGUGGGGAGCGAACAGG
rnacentral:rRNA from 1 species